ACAAACAGACAGAGUUAUCCACUGUUAUGGCCAGGGCUUUGGGACAGUCUUCAGAGAUGGAAUAGAUAUGUGUACUAUUUGGGGGCAUUUACAAGUUAGGUCAACUAUGUGAGAGGUUCAACUGUUUGUGUACAGUAGGGACUAUGUGAGAGGUUCAACGGUUUGUGUACAGUAGGGACUAUGUAAGAGGUUCAACGGUUUGUGUACAGUAGGGACUAUGUAAGAGGUUCAACGGUUUGUGUACAGUAGGGACUAUGUGAGAGGUUCAACGGUUUGUGUACAGUAGGGACUAUGUGAGAGGUUCAACGGUUUGUGUACAGUAGGGACUAUGUGAGAGGUUCAACGGUUUGUGUACAGUAGGGACUAUGUGAGAGGUUCAACGGUUUGUGUACAGUAGGGACUAUGUGAGAGGUUCAACGGUUUGUGUACAGUAGGGACUAUGUGAGAGGUUCAACGGUUUGUGUACAGUAGGGACUAUGUGAGAGGUUCAACGGUUUGUGUACAGUAGGGACUAUGUGAGAGGUUCAACGGUUUGUGUACAGUAGCGACUAUGUGAGAGGUUCAACGGUUUGUGUACAGUAGGGACUAUGUGAGAGGUUCAACGGUUUGUGUACAGUAGGGACUAUGUGAGAGGUUCAACAGUUUGUGUACAGUAGGGACUAUGUGAGAGGUUCAACAGUUUGUGUACAGUAGGGACUAUGUGAGAGGUUCAACGGUUUGUGUACAGUAGCGACUAUGUGAGAGGUUCAACGGUUUGUGUACAGUAGGGACUAUGUGAGAGGUUCAACGGUUUGUGUACAGUAGGGACUAUGUGAGAGGUUCAACGGUUUGUGUACAGUAGGGACUAUGUGAGAGGUUCAACGGUUUGUGUACAGUAGGGACUAUGUGAGAGGUUCAACGGUUUGUGUACAGUAGGGACUAUGUGAGAGGUUCAACGGUUUGUGUACAGUAGGGACUAUGUGAGAGGUUCAACGGUUUGUGUACAGUAGGGACUAUUCAGAUGCACUCUUACCCUCAUCGCCAGUGGGCUAGUGCUGUAAUCCACAGGUUGACACAAGUAACUGUAGUUAGAGAGCAUGGACGUGACCAAGAACUGCAACAUAAAAAC